rnacentral:rRNA from 1 species
AUGUUAAUAUUCAAUGAAUUCAUACGAAAACAGUCGCUGGUGGAACUGCCAAUCAAAGGACGAUCGUUCACUUGGAGCAAUAUGCAAAAUAACCCACUGCUCGAACAGUUAGAUUGGCAUUUCACCUCUGUUAACUGGGUGGUCAAAUUUCCGAACACUGUAGUCAUGCCU